rnacentral:sRNA from 1 species
CCAGGCUUCGUUGCCCCCAGCGACCCAAAGGUCCGAUUUCCCCGCCUUGAUUCUCCCCACUUCUCAAUACAGGCGUCUGGCUCCGCAGCAGAACACGAACUUUGCAUUCCCCAAGGGGCGGCCAGGGGGCGGACCAGGGAAAGGUAGUCCUCUGCAUUUUGCCGUGUGCUGGAAUGGUGUAGAGUGACGAUGAGGUGGCGGUAAGGGGUUGAGCGCUCACGCGAACGCCUAAGUGACCAGAACGACUGGUGUGAAGCCGUGAUCUGACUCUGUGGAGCCUGGGACUGGUUUCAGCGAGAGCCUCUGUACUGCUCUGUAGUCUCUACUAGGACAUGGACGAAAAGGGACGCAGCCGGGAGAGCGACUGCCCCAGGUGGGGGCUGGGGGGACGUAAGGGAAGAAUAAUGAUUAUCUGGCUGUGUUUUUGUUUAAAAAAAAAAAAAAACUGGUGUAAAUCUCCAUAGACUUCCUAUCCUCGCUCCCUUCACCCACCCACGCGCUCCCAAGAUGCAAUAAGCAAAUAAAAAGACUAAUAACGCUGUA